rnacentral:rRNA from 1 species
CAGCAGCCGCGGUAAUGCGUAGGUGGCAAGCGUUGUCCGGAAUUAUUGGGCGUAAAGGGCUCGCAGGCGGUUUCUUAAGUCUGAUGUGAAAGCCCCCGGCUCAACCGGGGAGGGUCAUUGGAAACUGGGAAACUUGAGUGCAGAAGAGGAGAGUGGAAUUCCACGUGUAGCGGUGAAAUGCGUAGAGAUGUGGAGGAACGCCAGUGGCGAAGGCGACUCUCUGGUCUGUAACUGACGCUGAGGAGCGAAAGCGUGGGGAGCGAACAGGAUUAGAGACCCCCGUAGUCCCUGUCUCUUAUAC